GAGUUUGAUCAUGGCUCAGAUUGAACGCUGGCGGCAUGCUUUACACAUGCAAGUCGAACGGUAACAGGGAGCUUGCUCCGCUGACGAGUGGCGAACGGGUGAGUAACGCAUCGGAACGUACCCAGUCGUGGGGGAUAACGUAGCGAAAGUUACGCUAAUACCGCAUACGUCCUGAGGGAGAAAGCGGGGGACCGUAAGGCCUCGCGCGAUUGGAGCGGCCGAUGUCGGAUUAGCUAGUUGGUAGGGUAAUGGCCUACCAAGCCGACGAUCCAUAGCUGGUUUGAGAGGAUGAUCAGCCACACUGGGACUGAGACACGGCCCAGACUCCUACGGGAGGCAGCAGUGGGGAAUUUUGGACAAUGGGCGAAAGCCUGAUCCAGCCAUGCCGCGUGAGUGAAGAAGGCCUUCGGGUUGUAAAGCUCUUUCAGCCGGAAAGAAAUCGCGCAGGAUAAUACUCUGCGUGGAUGACGGUACCGGAAGAAGAAGCACCGGCUAACUACGUGCCAGCAGCCGCGGUAAU
rnacentral:rRNA from 1 species